rnacentral:tRNA from 1 species
GCCCAGGUGGCGGAAUUGGUAGACGCACUACCUUGAGGUGGUAGCGGCGAAAGCUGUGGGGGUUCGAGUCCCCCCUUGGGCA